UACAGAGGGUGCAAGCGUUGUCCGGAAUUACUGGGCGUAAAGGGCGCGUAGGCGGCUUGGUAAGUAGGGGGUGAAAUACCACGGCUCAACCGUGGCACGGCCUCCUAAACUGCCAGACUUGAGCAUGGUAGAGGCAGAUGGAAUUCCCGGUGUAGCGGUGGAAUGCGUAGAGAUCGGGAAGAACACCAGUGGCGAAGGCGGUCUGCUGGGCCAUUGCUGACGCUGAGGCGCGAUAGCGUGGGGAGCAAACAGG
rnacentral:rRNA from 1 species